UCUGGUUGAUCCGGCGGAGGCCACUGCUAUCGGAGUUCGAUUAAGCCAUGCGAGUCGAGAGGUGUAAGACCUCGGCAUACUGCUCAGUAACACGUGGACAACCUACCCUGAAGAGGGGGAUAACCCCGGGAAACUGGGGAUAAUACCCCAUAGACUAUGGAUGCUGGAAUGCUUUGUAGUUGAAAGGUCCGCCGCUUCAGGAUGGGUCUGCGGCCGAUUAGGUUGUUGUUGGGGUAACGGCCCAACAAGCCUGUAAUCGGUACGGGUUGUGGGAGCAAGAGCCCGGAGAUGGAUUCUGAGACACGAAUCCAGGCCCUACGGGGCGCAGCAGGCGCGAAAACUUUACAAUGCGAGCAAUCGUGAUAAGGGAACUCCGAGUGCCUGUAAAAUCAGGCUGUCCGCCAGUGUAAAUAACUGGUGAAGAAAGGGCCGGGCAAGACCGGUGCCAGCCGCCGCGGUAAUACCGGCGGCUCGAGUGGUGGCCACUAUUACUGGGCUUAAAGCGUUCGUAGCUGGUCUGUUAAGUCUCUGGGGAAAUCUUCCGGCUUAACCGGAAGGCGUCUCAGGGAUACUGGCAGACUAGGGACCGGAAGAGGUGAGAGGUACUCCAGGGGUAGGAGUGAAAUCCUGUAAUCCUUGGGGGACCACCUGUGGCGAAGGCGUCUCACCAGGACGGCUCCGACAGUGAGGAACGAAAGCUGGGGGAGCAAACCGGAUUAGAUACCCGGGUAGUCCCAGCUGUAAACGAUGCGCGUUAGGUGUAUCGGUGACCACGAGUCACCGAGGUGCCGAAGAGAAAUCGUGAAACGCGCCGCCUGGGAAGUACGGUCGCAAGGCUGAAACUUAAAGGAAUUGGCGGGGGAGCACCACAACGGGUGGAGCCUGCGGUUUAAUCGGACUCAACGCCGGGAAACUCACCGGACAAGACAGCUGAAUGAUAGUCGGGCUGAAGACUCUACUUGACUAGCUGAGAGGAGGUGCAUGGCCGUCGUCAGUUCGUACUGUGAAGCAUCCUGUUAAGUCAGGCAACGAGCGAGACCCA
rnacentral:rRNA from 1 species